rnacentral:rRNA from 1 species
UAGCUAGUUGGUGAGGUAAAGGCUUACCAAGGCGACGAUCUGUAGCGGGUCUGAGAGGAUGAUCCGCCACACUGGAACUGAGACACGGUCCAGACUCCUACGGGAGGCAGCAGUGGGGAAUUUUGGACAAUGGGGGCAACCCUGAUCCAGCCAUGCCGCGUGAGUGAAGAAGGCCUUCGGGUUGUAAAGCUCUUUCGGCCGGGAAGAAAUCGCAUGGGCCAAUACCCUGUGUGGAUGACGGUACCGGAAUAAGAAGCACCGGCUAACUACGUGCCAGCAGCCGCGGUAAUACGUAGGGUGCGAGCGUUAAUCGGAAUUACUGGGCGUAAAGCGUGCGCAGGCGGUUUUGUAAGACAGGCGUGAAAUCCCCGGGCUUAACCUGGGAACUGCGUUUGUGACUGCAAGGCUAGAGUACGGCAGAGGGGGGUGGAAUUCCACGUGUAGCAGUGAAAUGCGUAGAGAUGUGGAGGAACACCAAUGGCGAAGGCAGCCCCCUGGGUCGAUACUGACGCUCAUGCACGAAAGCGUGGGUAGCAAACAGGAUUAGAUACCCUGGUAGUCCACGCCCUAAACUAUGUCAACUAGGUGUUGGGUGGGUAAAACCAUUUAGUACCGUAGCUAACGCGUGAAGUUGACCGCCUGGGGAGUACGGCCGCAAGGUUAAAACUCAAAGGAAUUGACGGGGACCCGCACAAGCGGUGGAUGAUGUGGAUUAAUUCGAUGCAACGCGAAAAACCUUACCUACCCUUGACAUGCCAGGAACUUGCCAGAGAUGGCUUGGUGCCCGAAAGGGAGCCUGGACACAGGUGCUGCAUGGCUGUCGUCAGCUCGUGUCGUGAGAUGUUGGGUUAAGUCCCGCAACGAGCGCAACCCUUGACGUUAAUUGCCAUCAUUUAGUUGGGCACUUUAACGAGACUGCCGGUGACAAACCGGAGGAAGGUGGGGAUGACGUCAAGUCCUCAUGGCCCUUAUGGGUAGGGCUUCACACGUCAUACAAUGGUCGGUACAAAGGGUUGCCAAGCCGCGAGGCGGAGCCAAUCCCAGAAAGCCGAUCGUAGUCCGGAUUGCAGGCUGCAACUUGCCUGCAUGAAGUCGGAAUCGCUAGUAAUCGUGGAUCAGCAUGUCACGGUGAAUACGUUCCCGGGUCUUGUACACACCGCCCGUCACACCAUGGGAGCGGGUUCCGCCAGAAGUAGGUAGCCUAACCGCAAGGGGGGCGCUUACCACGGCGGGGUUCGUGACUGGGGUGAAGUCGGAAUAAGGUAGCCGUAGGGGAACCUGCGGCUG